UAUUGAUUGGUGCUUGCAUCAUGAUUUACAUUUGCAGUGAGUGGCGAACUGGUGAGUAACACGUGGGAAACCUGCCCAGAAGCGGGGGAUAACACCUGGAAACAGAUGCUAAUACCGCAUAACAACUUGGACCGCAUGGUCCGAGCUUGAAAGAUGGCUUCGGCUAUCACUUUUGGAUGGUCCCGCGGCGUAUUAGCUAGAUGGUGGGGUAACGGCUCACCAUGGCAAUGAUACGUAGCCGACCUGAGAGGGUAAUCGGCCACAUUGGGACUGAGACACGGCCCAAACUCCUACGGGAGGCAGCAGUAGGGAAUCUUCCACAAUGGACGAAAGUCUGAUGGAGCAACGCCGCGUGAGUGAAGAAGGGUUUCGGCUCGUAAAACUCUGUUGUUAAAGAAGAACAUAUCUGAGAGUAACUGUUCAGGUAUUGACGGUAUUUAACCAGAAAGCCACGGGCUAACUACGUGCCCC
rnacentral:rRNA from 2 species